rnacentral:hammerhead_ribozyme from 1 species
AUCCAACUGACGAGUCCCAAAUAGGACGAAAUGCGCAUCAUCCUGGAU